GUAGUGGUUAAAGAGCUUCUGCUAAACUGUUUGCAGCCUUGAUAAUAAACACAUUAGUAGAAAGUAGGGAAAUUAAUUACAGCAAGAAUUUUAUUACUUAGAAGUAAAAAUACAAAGAUGGCAUCAUAAUGCAAUUAUCAUUUUCGUGGAAGAUGUAAUGAUCGAACAACUGAGCAAAUGUUUGGCUUUGACAAAAAAUAACAUCUCAAACUGAUUUGUUUAUCAAGCAUUUACAAGAUUUUGAUAUCUCAUUGAGUUUCCUAUAUUUCUAUAUUUCUAAUUAGUCCAUUCUUCUUUUGUGAGAAAAAAAAGAUUGAUUUACCUCUUGACUUGACAAGUAUAGAGAUAUAUUGCUGGGAAUCCUUGUUUCAAGUUACUUUUAAGAUUUUCUUUUGGCCACAAUGGUAUGUUUCUUAAUACUUGCUUAUAUAAUAAAUUCACAUAGUAACAUAAGCAAAACCUGAUAUUACUUUUUAUCUAAGAUUAUACUUCUUUUGCUUUGAGCUCCAUAACUCAUGUGACAAGUAUUAUCUUGAUCGAUAUGUAAUAUGUAUUAUUUAUCUUUCAAAAAAAAAAUAUGUAAUAUGUAUUAUUUAUCUUAUGAACUAAUUUAAUAUGGAGUUUUCAUUUCAUAAAUAUGGGAAUUUAUUCCAUCUAUUGACUAUUGUAUUGUUGCAGACAAUUGAAAGCUCUUUUCAUGGGAUUUUUUGCAAGGAUAACUCAAACAUUCUUCGACCUGAAGGAGAAUCCGCGUAGAUGAUACCUUAAGAUCUACAAGAAGACAUUAACCACCAAGUCCACCCUCAUAGUCCCCUCCAACGAUAUCUCGUAAUUCCAUGAUCUGUUC
rnacentral:lncRNA from 1 species